CCUCAAAAAGGAGUGACGGGCAAUUUGUGCAUGUUAAAUGGCAUUUUCAAAAAAAAAUUUUUUUUUAUUUUACUUUUAAGUUCUUUUUCCUCUAUUUUCAUUUUUAAUUCAAUUCCACCCGUAUGUAUCCCUAAAAUCAACUUUAUUAACUCUGUCUAGAUUUGCUCUUUUACUUUUUCAAAGUUUUUUAAAAAAACUUUUUUCUCUUCUUUUCACACAAUGAUAUAGAGGUUAAAAAAAGUUGUUUCUUUAAACGUGUAUUGACGAUUCUUUCCUAGGACCCCCUAAAUUGUUUUAACACCGCCAUUAUACAUUGAUUUUGUUUAUUUAAUUACUCUCUCUUAAUUUACAUUAGAA
rnacentral:rRNA from 1 species